rnacentral:sRNA from 1 species
GCUGGGCGUGGUGGUGUGCGCCUGUAGUCCCAGCUACUUGGGAGGCUGAGGCAGGAUAAUCGCUUGAACCCAGGAGGUGGAGGUUGCAGUGAGCCAAGAUCACACCACUGCACUCCAGCCUGGGCGACAGAGCGAGAUCCCGUCUCAA